rnacentral:misc_RNA from 1 species
GAUAAUCCUCACCCUAUGAGCUGGACUUUAGGGUUGUGCUAGGCCCAGAACCUAUUCUUUAACAAACCCAAAAGUAGCCUUUUUCGGUUGAUUGAUCCUUCGGAGCCUAAGAUGCUUAUCCAGUCCCAUGAAUCACUCCUAUUGUGUCCUUUUUCAGCUAAUAUCAUUUACACUGCUCUGCCACUGUGUAAAAGAGUGACGGAGAUUUU